UACGGAAGGCAGCAGUGGGGAAUAUUGCACAAUGGGCGAAAGCCUGAUGCAGCUAUGCCGCGUGUAUGAAGAAGGCCUUAGGGUUGUAAAGUACUUUCAUCGGGGAGGAAAAACAAAACUAAUAAUUUUAUUUCUUGACGUUACCCGAAAAAGAAGCACCGGCUAACUCCGUGCCAGCAGCCGCGGUAAUACGGAGGGUGCUAGCGUUAAUCAGAAUUACUGGGCGUAAAGAGCACGUAGGUGGUUUUUUUAAGUCAGAUGUGAAUCCCUGGGCUUAACCUGGAACUGCAUUUUGAAACUGAAAUACUAGAGUAUCGUAGAGGGAGGUAGAAUUCUAGGUGUAGCGGUGAAAUGCGUAGAUAUCUGGAGGAAUACCUGUGGCGAAAGCGGCCUCCUAAACGAAUACUGACACUGAGGUGCGAAAGCGUGGGGAGCAAACGAGGAUUAGAUACC
rnacentral:rRNA from 1 species